GGGAGACUGAGGCGGGAGAAUCACUUGAACCUGGAAGGCAGAGGUUGCAGUGAGCCGAGAUUGUGCCAUUGCACUCCAGCCUGGGCGACAAGAGCAAAACUCCUUCUCAAAAAAAAAAAAAAAAAAAAAAAAGUGACCAACCUGCUCUAUCAGCACUAACAUGGAGUGAUCUCAAGAACAUAAAGCCUGAAUCUAUUCCUUCCUCAAAUGAGAAGUAGGACUGAGUCUUCUGUUCUUUGCAAAGCAUUUCUCAGCACACCUGCCCAGCUGCAUGAGCUGAGAGGAAAUCAGCAUAUUAAGGAAGAAGAAACAGUGCCUCCUGCUGAAGACUUUACUGCUUCUAGCACCUGUUAGGUAAAUCUCUGUUUAUUGGGUUCCAAGCUAAAUUCACUCUAAAAGACCUGGAAUCUUCUCUCUUAUCAGUUUUCAGCAAUGAAGUUUUGGUUGAGACACUGAAUGUACCUAAGCCUCAUUUUUAAAAUGUGAUAAUAGUUGCCUUGCUGCGUUGUCAUAGCAUAUUAGGACAUGUUAUGGUCGGCAGUCAAAGCACGUGACUUUUUCCUGUCCCACUGGACUUUUC
rnacentral:lncRNA from 10 species